rnacentral:rRNA from 1 species
UACGGGGGGGGCAAGCGUUGUUCGGAAUUACUGGGCGUAAAGCGUGUGUAGGCGGUCUCAUAAGUCGGGUGUGAAAGCCCCGGGCUCAACCCGGGAAGUGCACUCGAAACUGCGAGGCUAGAGUACUGGAGAGGUUGGUGGAAUUCUCGGUGUAGAGGUGAAAUUCGUAGAUAUCGAGAGGAACACCGGUGGCGAAGGCGGCCAACUGGACAGAUACUGACGCUGAGACACGAAAGCGUGGGGAGCAAACAGG